rnacentral:rRNA from 1 species
UACGUAGGGAGCGAGCGUUGUCCGGAAUCAUUGGGCGUAAAGGGCGUGUAGGUGGCUCAAUUAGUCUGCUGUGAAAGUCAAAGGCUCAACCUUUGAAAGCCGGUGGAUACUGUUGAUCUAGAGUACGGAAGAGGCGAGUGGAAUUCCUGGUGUAGCGGUGGAAUGCGCAGAUAUCAGGAGGAACACCAAUAGCGAAGGCAGCUCGCUGGGACGUUACUGACACUGAGAUGCGAAAGCGUGGGGAGCAAACAGG